AACAAAAAGAAAAAAACAGAAAAAAUAUAAAAAAAUGCGAAAAAGUAGUAUCCUCUUGCCGAUGGAUGCGCGUU
rnacentral:ribozyme from 12 species